rnacentral:rRNA from 1 species
AGCGAACGCUGGCGGCAGGCUUAACACAUGCAAGUCGAACGCCCCGCAAGGGGAGUGGCAGACGGGUGAGUAACACGUGGGAACGUACCCUUUGGUUCGGAAUAACUUGGGGAAACUCAAGCUAAUACCGGAUAAGCCCUUAUGGGGAAAGGUAUACUGCCGAAGGAUCGGCCCGCGUCUGAUUAGCUAGUUGGUGAGGGAAUGGCUCACCAAGGCGACGAGUAGUAGCUGGUCUUAGCGUGUGAUCAGCCACACUGGGACUGAGACACGGCCCAGACGCCUACGGGAGGCAGCAGUGGGUAAUAUUGGACAAUGGGGGCAACCCUGAUCCAGCCAUGCCGCGUGAGUGAUGAAGGCCUUAGGGUUGUAAAGCUCUUUUACCCGGGACGAUAAUGACUGUACCGGGAGAAUAAGCCCCGGCUAACUUCGUGCCAGCCGCCGCCGUAA